rnacentral:rRNA from 1 species
UACGUAGGGCGCAAGCGUUGUCCGGAAUUAUUGGGCGUAAAGAGCUCGUAGGCGGUUUGUCGCGUCUGCUGUGAAAACCUAAGGCUCAACCUUGGGCUUGCAGUGGGUACGGGCAGACUAGAGUGCGGUAGGGGUGACUGGAAUUCCUGGUGUAGCGGUGGAAUGCGCAGAUAUCAGGAGGAACACCGGUGGCGAAGGCGGUUCUCUGGGCAUGUCCUGACGCUGGAGGAGCGGAAAGCCGUGGGUAGCAAACGGG